CAGCCACUUAAAUCGAGUUUCCUGGUACUCGGGCAGUGGAGGCGCCUGCGUUCUGCCUGUGUGCAUGGCGUGCAUGCCCUCACUGUCAGCACAUAAGCUAAAUAAACAGCAGAAACCAACCGCGGUCCCCCAAGUGCGUGAAGUGUCUCUCAGCAGCAUUUACUUUAGCACGUCCUUGAGAAGUGCACUGUAAACACAGGGCUUGCUCAUCCACCACAGAGCUUGCAGUCCAGCAGGGGGGUCUCCUGAGUGGAGGGAGGGCAGGAUAUGAAGAGGGCAUUGCUUCUAGAAACCGGUAGCAGAGACAGACACAUUCGCCAGCCCCUGGUAACCAGAGCCCACAGCUCCUGUCUCCUGGCUGCUGGCUGUUUCCAGGCUUCCUGCUCUUUAGCAUUUCCUCAUCAGGUAAAGGUGAUGAGCUGUUAAAAAUACUUCUCGGUUACGGCUUCCAGGCAUGAUCGAUCCCACCCUUCGUUUGUGUUCGCGAAAUGAGGCUUGGCGUGGCUUGCUCAUUGUUCAAAGUGCAUAACAGAAACAGACCUUUGACAAACAUCUCCCGGGCUGCUGGACACAGCAUGUUCUCGCUACAUUCAUUAUUAGCAGUAAAUCUAUUCUGCGACUUUGAGAAUGUAGUUACAGACUCUCAUGAGAUCAUGUUUGAUACUUUAGGAGUAUUAGCUUCAUAAAGUUCCUUGGCUCAUUAGAAUUAGACUUCAGACUGACCCAGCUGCUGAAAGACUAAAUUGGAAACUAAUUUGUUGGAACUUGGAAGGUGGCUAAACUAUUUGAGAUGUUCCACUGACAGACAAAAACAAAAAAGCAAAUUAAAAGGUUGUAAAAUCAAGUAAAUUAGAGAGAUAGGGUUGAAUGCUUAACAUCUAGUCCAUGUUUGUAAUGUUGUUUAGAAUGUUGCAGACUGAAAACCCUGUGGUUAAUAAACUUGAUCACUUGUAGUUAAACUAACACUUUCUAAGUACGGUUGACCAGAAACCGUAAAACCACAAACAACAUUCAGUGGAAAGCAGAUUGUGAAAUCUUGAUUGCCAAAGUGGGAGAAGGUACUCACUGCAUGUGUUAGCAGGAUGUGACUCCCCUGUUGGAGUUUUAGCUCAUAUAUGGUCAACAUCUUAGUUAUGUCCUUGUUGCUCAUAGAAUCGCUUUCUGACCAACAGCAAGAUUCAUGACUUCAUCAUCAGAGAUGUGAGGUCUGACAAAUUUCACUAUGACUUCUUAGCCAUUAAGUCUCGACAGCUGGCCCAUUUAAAAAUUGGCAAAGAGGAAAUAAAGGUAUCACUAUUUGCAGAUGAUAUGAUACUAUAUGCGAGCAACCCCAAAAAUUCUACCAGAGAACUUCUCCAGCUGAUAAACAACUUCACCAAAGUGGCCAGAUAUAAAUUAACUCAAAUAAAUCAGUAUCCUUCCUUCAUACAAAUGAUAAACAGGCUGAAAAAGAAUUAAGUAAAUGAUACCUUUCACAAUAGGCACAAAUAAUAUAAAAUAUCUUGGGGUAACUCUAACCAAACAAAUGAAAGAUCUUUAUGAUAAGAACUUCAAAUCUCUCAAGAAAGAAAUUGAAGAAGAUCUCAGAAAAUUGAGAGAUCUCCCAUGCUCGUGGAUUGGCAGAAUUAACAUAGUAAAAAUGGCCAUCCCACCAAAGGCCAUCUACAGAUUCAAUGCAAUCUCCAUCAAAAUCCCAACACAAGGGGUUGGGGAUUUAGCUCAGUGGUAGAGCGCUUGCCUAGGAAGCGCAAGGCCCUGGGUUCGGUCCCCAGCUCCAAAAAAAAAAAAAAAAAAAGAACCAAAAAAAAAAAUCCCAACACAAUUCUUCAAAGACAUGGAAAGAGCAAUUCUCAAAUUCAUCUCAAUGGAAAAAAAAACCAAAAAAAAAAAAAAACAACCAAAAAACAAAAACAAACCCAGAAUAGAGAAAAUAAUUUUUAACAGUAUAAGAAGGCUAGGGGAAUCACCAUCCCUGACCUCAAACUAUACUACAGAGAAAUAGUGAUAAAAACUGCAUGGUAUUGGUACAGAGACAGACUGGGAAAAAUUUCACUAACUCCACAUCUGAUAGAGGGCUAAUAACCAAAAUAUAAAGAAAUCAAGAAGCUAACCACCAAAAAACCAAACCAAAACAAGACAAAAAAAAUAAAAAAACAAAAAAAAACGAACAAAACAAAACAAACAAACAAAAAAAACCAACCCAAAACCCAACAACCCAAUCAAACAAUGGGAUUUAGAACUAACUAGAAUUUACAGCAGAGGAAUCUUUAAAGGCUGAGAAGCACAUAAAGAAAUGUUCAAAGUCUUUAGUGAUCUGGGAAAUGCAAAUCAAAAGGAUCUUACACCAAUCAGAAUGGCUAAGAUCAAAAACUUAGGUGACAGCAGAUGCUGGUGAGGAUGUGGAGAAAGAGGAACACUCCUUUGUUGUUGUUGGGAUUGCAAACUGGUACAGCCACUCUGUAAAUCAAUCUGGAGGUUCCUCAGAAAACUGGAAAUAGACCUACCUGAAGACCCAGCAAUACCACUCUUGGGGAAUAUACCCAAAGGAUGCCCCACCAGGCCACAGGGGCAUGUGUUUUACUAUGUUCAUCUGUGAUAGCCAAAAGCUGGAAACAACCCAGAUGUCUCAUGACAGAAGAAUGGAUGCUGAAAAUGUGGUUCAUUUACACAAUGGAAUACUCCUCAGCUAUUAAGAAUGAGAACAUCCUGAGUUUUGCAGGCAAAUAGAUGGAACUAGAAAAUGUCAUCCUGAGUGAAGUAACUCAGACCCAAAAGGACAUGCAUGAACUGCAGGGAUGGAAAUGGCAAGGAGCCUGAGGAAAAGGAGGUCCAGCCACAGGCCCAAAGUGGGAUCCAGCUCAAGGGGAGGCCCCAAGGCCUGACACUAUUACUGAGGCUAUGGAGUAUUUACAAAAAGGGACCUAUCAUGACUACACUCUGAAAAACCCAACAAGCAGCUGAAAGAGGCAGAUAUUUACACACAACCAAUGGACAGAAGCUGGUGAACCCUGUGGUUGAAUCCGGUUAAAGCUGGAAGAAGCUGAGGAGGAGGGUAACCCUGUAGGAGGACCAGCGGUCUCAACUAACCUGAACCCCUGAGAUCUCUCAGACACUGGAUUACCAACCAGGCAGCAUACACCACUGAGAUGAAGCCUCCAACACAUACACAGCAGAGGACACUCGGGUCUGGGUUCAGUCAGAGAAGAUGCUCCUAACCCUUAAGAGACUGGAGGCCUCAGGAAUUUUAGAGGUCUGAUGGGGUGGGGGGUGGGAGGAU